rnacentral:rRNA from 2 species
AGAUAAAACCAACGCGGGGUAAAACCUGUUUCUUGGUGAAUCAUAAUAAUUAAGCGGAUCGCAUGGCCUUGUGCCGGCGACGGUCCACUCGAUUUUCUGCCCUAUCAUGGUUGAGAUUGUAAGAUAGAGGCUUACAAUGCCUACAACGGGUAACGGGGAAUUAGGGUUCGAUUCCGGAGAGGGAGCCUGAGAAACGGCUACCACAUCCAAGGAAGGCAGCAGGCGCGCAAAUUACCCAAUCCCGACACGGGGAGGUAGUGACAAUACAUAACAAUGCAGGGCCUUUAAGGUCUUGCAAUUGGAAUGAGUACAAUUUAAAUCCCUUAACGAGGAUCAAUUGGAGGGCAAGUCUGGUGCCAGCAGCCGCGGUAAUUCCAGCUCCAAUAGCGUAUAUUAAAGUUGUUGCAGUUAAAACGUCCGUAGUCAAACUUUAGUCUUACCGGCGUAGUGGCCCUGGUCUUCAUUGACCAAGCUCAUUGCUGCCGGAGACUCCAUGUCCAUUGACUCCUAGUCCUCGUGGCUAGGGUUUUCUGGACAAUUACCAUGAGCAAAUCAGAGUGUUUAAAGCAGGCUUUUAAGCUUGAAUGUGUUAGCAUGGAAUAAUGAAAUAUGACUUUAGUCCUAUUU